UCAGAUGAAAACAGAAAGCAGAAUCCUGUAGCAGUUUUGACCAUUUGUCUCUCAGCUCAUGGAUGUGGAUGGAGGAAAUGCUUAUGUGAGUAAGCUGUGUCAUUCAUGAACUAAGUUCACCUGCAUUGUUCCUUGUGGCUCUCAGAAACAGGCUCCAGACAUAAACAAACAAAAUCACCACACACUCUUCAAUAAGGCCCUACUAUCCUUCAUACAAAUGACAGAGAGAUCAAGGCCAAGUGUUGAGCUGGCUUGUGCUCUACUGCAGCUUACCUGAGUUUGGCUACAAGGAAAAAAGCUCCAGAUGACAGUGCGAAGGCUUACUGGCAUUCUCCUGCAGAUGAGGAAAUAUAUGCAUAUGGAGUUGAAAUAAAACACCAAGGUUUUAUUCUUUGAAAACUCAUGGGACAAGAUCAAACUGAAGCCUCACUCCCAGGGAACCUGUCCUCUGAAUCUCUGGCAACUUGAAAAAAGGCAAAGCGUCAACGGGGAGUGCCUUCAGGGCUUAAAGACCUUACUCUGGGUAAAUCGCAUUUAGAACUAACUGACCUUGUUUGAUAUCUAACAUUCAAACUUCUACAGCUGAGCUACAGGAAGAUGUUAUUUUUUUUUUUUUUUAAGAGAGGGGAGGGGAUAAUUCAUUAUAACCCUUUACUCUCCCCCAAAUAAGGAUAUUUAAGCGUAAUGUCAUUUGAAUGAUUUGGGGCAUGUGAAAGGCCUGGAUAUAAAGGUCCCUGUCCCUGAAGUGGGCUACCGAGCUCUGGGAAAGUCUGUCCUUGAGUGCACAGGUAGAGGGAGGCAGGGGCAAACCAGGACAGACACACACUGAGAUGACAGAAGUAGCAGUGACUCAUGGGGAAGGCAAGCCUGUGCUGUCAGGAUGCUGUUGGAGACCUUGCCAGUUUAUAAAGUCUUGAUUGCUUCCCACCUGCUAAGAUAAAGGGGCUCUUCUCAAGGGCGGGACACUGGGUUUCUGUCUUGACUCCGCAUAGACAAAGAUACUUCCCACAGUGUUUGUUUACCUUUUAGCUUUGUCCACAAACUACAGACCAAGAUGAAUCCUUACCCUAGAUAAUUCAAGUUUGAAUUAGCACAGCCCGUUCCUCUUCCCAGGUGGUUCCUCUCUCUCUAAGUAUCCACCACUCUCUGUUCUCAUGUUAAAUUGCAUAGAGAUAGUGUUUGGAAUAGGGUGUUUUUCCCAAGUUAUAAUUCACUGUGUCUGAUUUUAUUCUUAAUAAACUGUAGCAUUUAGAUGCUGGGGUGGGAGCUGGAGUGUCUUGGUGCACAUGCAGCACCUGUCCCCCCACACUCAAGACCCUGCACAAAUCAGACCCCAAAACUGGAAAGAAGAAUGAUAGAACACAUUGAUCAAAAAGACAAGAUUGGUAAAAUCUCCAAGUGGUCAAAAUGAGUGCAAAGGAACCGAUUACAAACUCUUACACACUGGGGGCUGGAGAGAUGGCUCUCGGGUUCAAAGCACUGGCUGU